AUAUUGGGCAGUGGCCUCAGUCAGGCCCGCUGGCCGCCCUGCCACACGGUAGCGUCCAAGCCAGGUCGUGGCCCAUCGCGGGGCCCCUGCGGAGCGAGUGGGGACGCGCCCCGAACCAGGCAGCACCUUCGUGGCAUUGGCUGUGUAGGUCAAGACAAGGGCCAGGUUCGAAAAUGCCUUGACGUGGUGGAGAUCUACAACCCAGAUGGGGACUUUUGGCGAGAGGGCCCUCCCAUGCCAAGUCCCCUCCUCUCACUCCGCACCAAUUCCACCAAUGCAGGGGCAGUGGAUGGGAAACUCUAUGUCUGCGGGGGAUUCCAUGGAGCAGAUCGCCAUGAGGUUAUCUCCAAAGAAAUAUUGGAACUGGACCCAUGGGAAAACCAGUGGAAUGUUGUAGCCAUCAACGUCCUCAUGCAUGACAGCUAUGAUGUCUGCCUAGUAGCCAGGAUGAAUCCCCGAGACCUCAUCCCCCCGCCUUCAGAUUUGGUGGAAGAAGGCAAUGAGCACUAAGGUGACCUUGCUGGAGGACCUCCUGCUGUUCUGCAAACAAGGCCUUCAGAACGGAGAGG
rnacentral:sRNA from 1 species